AAUAGAUGACGCCGUUGAUUUUUUCUCACAUGUUUGACCAUUUGUCUUAUUAAAAAAAAUUACGUAAUUAUAAUUUAUUUGUUAUGAGUUGUUUUAUCCCUCAUAGUACUUUAAGUAUGAUUUAUAUCUUAUAUAUUUGCAUAAAUUUUUUGAAUAAGACGACUGGUCAAACAUGUGAGAAAAAAUCAACGGCGUCAUCUAUU
rnacentral:pre_miRNA from 1 species